rnacentral:rRNA from 1 species
CGGCGGACGGGUGAGUAACACGUGGAUAACCUACCUAUAAGACUGGGAUAACUUCGGGAAACCGUAGCUAAUACCGGAUAAUAUUUUGAACCGCAUGGUUCAAAAGUGAAAGACGGUCUUGCUGUCACUUAUAGAUGGAUCCGCGCCGCAUUAGCUAGUUGGUAAGGUAACGGCUUACCAAGGCAACGAUGCGUAGCCGACCUGAGAGGGUGAUCGGCCACACUGGAACUGAGACACGGUCCAG